AGAGUUUGAUUUUGGCUCAGAUUGAACGCUGGCGGCGUGCUUAACACAUGCAAGUCGAACGCGAAAGGGGGCUUCUGCUCCCGAGUAGAGUGGCGCACGGGUGAGUAACGCGUGGAUAAUCUGCCCUCUUGUUCGGGAUAACUGCUCGGAAACGGCAGCUAAUACCGGAUAAGCUCCACCAAUUGUAUGGUGAGGAAAGGAGGCCUCUUCAUGAAAGCUUCCGCGAGGGGAUGAGUCCGCGUCCCAUUAGCUAGUUGGUGAGGUAACGGCCCACCAAGGCAACGAUGGGUAGCCGGUCUAAGAGGAUGACCGGCCACACUGGAACUGAAACACGGUCCAGACUCCUACGGGAGGCAGCAGUGGGGAAUAUUGCGCAAUGGACGAAAGUCUGACGCAGCGACGCCGCGUGAGGGAUGAAGGUUUUCGGAUCGUAAACCUCUGUCAGGAGGGAAGAAAGCGCAUGGCGCCAAUCAGCCAUGCGUUGACGGUACCUCCAAAGGAAGCGCCGGCUAACUCCGUGCCAGCAGCCGCGGUAAUACGGAGGGCGCGAGCGUUAAUCGGAAUUACUGGGCGUAAAGCGCGCGUAGGCUGUUGUGUAAGUUGGGGGUGAAAUCCCACGGCUCAACCGUGGAACAGCCCUUGAUACUGCGCGACUUGAAUCCGGGAGAGGGUGGCGGAAUUCCAGGUGUAGGAGUGAAAUCCGUAGAUAUCUGGAGGAACAUCAGUGGCGAAGGCGGCCACCUGGACCGGUAUUGACGCUGAGGCGCGAAAGCGUGGGGAGCAAACAGGAUUAGAUACCCUGGUAGUCCACGCUGUAAACGAU
rnacentral:rRNA from 1 species